rnacentral:lncRNA from 1 species
AUUGCCAGAGCCCAAGGUUGCUCUCUCAAGAUGUAAGAUCUCAGCUAUUGUCCCAGCACCAUGCCUGCCUGCUUGCCUGUUGCUGCCAUGCUCCCAGCUAUGAUGAUCAUGGACCCUAACCUUCUGAAACUGUAAGACCGAUAAGGAAAUACAGCUUAAAUGAGUGUCAGAGGCUGGCAGGAUGGCUCGGUGAAUAAGGACAGUUGCUGGCGAGACUGAAGUGCUCAGUACCUGGAUCCCACUUGGUAGAAACUGAAAUCCAGUUCUAGCAAGUUGUCAUCUGACCUCCACAUGUAUGCUGUAGCACCAGCACACACAGAGAAACACACACACACACACACCACACACACGCAGAGAGAGAGAGAGAGAGCAAAUACGUGAGUGAGACUUACAAUAAAAAAGUAGCAGCCAGAUGGAAAGCAGUGGCUGGGUUCUCCAUCUGCUGGAGUGCUUGUCUAACUGUUCACACCCUCGCCUUCAAGCCCCCGCUACCCCCAAGCAAAGCAAAAUAGCAAUGACGAGAAACAAGGCAAGCAAAACCCUCUGAGGUUUAGCUGACUGUGGUGGCACCCACCUAGAAUGCUAGGAUUAGGGAAGCUGAGGCAGGAGGAUUGCAAGAUUGUGAGUCUGACGUUAGUCAGGGCUGCUGAUACUGAAAGACUCUGAUGGGUAGGGGUCAUUGAAAAUGAAGCUACAAACAAAGAUUGAUUCAUUUGAGUUAGUGAACGCACAGCUCAAGAAAGGCAAGCAUUUUUAAAAAAUUUAUUCUCUUCUCAUACAAUCCAUUACGACUGCAGCUUUCCCUCGAUUAAUUCCUCUCAGUCCCCCCCCCCACGUCCCCUCUCCUCUAGAUCCAGCCCUGAUUUGUCUCCCCUUACAAAAGAGUGGGCCUUCCAUGAACAUCAACUGGACAUGGUACAAGGUGUAUUAAAAUAAGGCAUAAACUCUCAUACCAGGGCCCAGUGAAACAACCCAGAAGGAAGAAAAGGGUCCCAAGAGCUGGCAAAAGAGUCAGAGACACUCCUGCUCCCACUAUUAGGAGAUUCCAAACCACCAGUUAUAACAUAUGCAAAGGACUUAGUGCAUAUCCAUAAAAGCUCUGUGAUUGUCAUCUCUGUGACAUCCCUGUGAGCCUCAUGAGCUCUGAUUAGCUGAUUCUACCCCUUGGCUCCCACAAUUCCUCUGCCCCAUCUUCUGAGUUGGGGGGCUGGGGGAAGGAGGUAUUCCCAGAGCCCUCUGCGGAAGAACUGGAAGGAAACCUUCAAACUGGGCUCUCUUAUGACUAAUAUUUGGGUGUAGGUCUCUGUAUCUGCUCCCAUCAUCUGUCAACUGGUUCACUUGAAUUAGUGAAUUCAAACCCAAAGAAAGGAAGGUUUUUGUUUGUUUGUUUUUUCCUGGAAAAGAAGGAAGAGGAAGAGGAAGGGAAGAGGAGGAAGAGGAGGAAGAAGAGGAAGAGGAGGAAAAGAAAAAGUCACUUCAAAGCAAAAGUACCCAGUGGAAAACAGGAAGGCACUUUAUAUUGUCAAAUCGAACAUUUUUACAUAAGAGAUAUUUUGUGAAUGCAUAGAAUAUCAUAGCACUAUGCAGACAUGAGUCCUGGAUCUUAACUCAAAGGCCAUUAUACCCAUUUCAGAGGCAAGGAGACUGAGGCUUAUACAAGCAAUUAUGAACAGAUUCUGGAUUUGUGCCAGGGCCACUACACUUCUCUCAUAUCCUCAGAAGCCCGAGAAAGCAACUGUAUGCUGUGGCUACUGCAGCCAUGAUCUCACAGCAGCUGGGGUGACCUGCACCACAUGAAGUAGCCAUAGAUGAGGGAGAUGAUUUCCAAGGCCCACCCUUUACUGAGAAGCAAGUUACUGGGGAGGAAGAGCCAUUUUUCUUUGGGACUGUAGUCACAGGUAGGCUUUGAUGCUCCAGUGGAUGGCCCCACACUUGAUGCAAUAUGAACCGUACUAGUUAGACUUACUGGUUUACAAAAACAAACAGACAAACAUAGAAAGCACAACAGAAGACAUGGAGUAAGACGAGGAAGUGCUGAAGAGGAUAUGGGAGGGUUUGGAGGGAGAGAAAUGGGGAGUGUGUAUGAUCAUAUUUCAUUAUACAUAUGGGACAUAUUAUGAUCAUAUUUCAUUGUAUAUAUGGUGCAUGUGUAUGAUCAUAUUGCAUUGUAUAUAUGGGGUGUAUAUAUGAUCAUAUUUUAUUGUAUAUAUGGCGCAUGUGUAUGAUCACAUUUCAUUGUAUAUAGGUAUGAAACUCUAAAAGAAUAAAAAUAGAUGAAGUAGUUCAAGAAAACAAGAAACAGGACAAGAAUAUACCUCAGAGACAGGAAAGGAGAAUCUAACUGCAGAGCAUUCCAUUAGAAUACAAAAGAAACCCAGGGCUGGUGGGGUGAAGGAAAAAUGGCCCCCAGAGGCUCUAGCAUUUGAAUGCUUGGCCUCCGAUGGUGGUGCUGUUUAGGAAGGUUACAGAGCCCUGAGGAGGUGCAGCCUUGCUGGAGGAAGUACUUCAGUGAGAGAGGGGCUUGAGGGCACAUAGCCUCGGCCCACUUCCUGUUCUCUUUGUGCUUCCUGACCUAGGCCAGCAUCACCAGCCUCUGCCUUGCCUCCAUCUGCCACCGUGGACCCCAUCUCUCAGGAUCCGUGAGCUAAAACAAACCCUUGCUUCCUUAGGUGGCUUUUGGUCAGGGUGUUUUAUCAUAGCUACAGAGAAGCAACUAAUACACUCUGCUGGCUUAUAGGUUGACUUUUGAAAACAACAGAAAAAGAGAGAUGAGAAAGUGAUCAACUGUGACCGUAGAUUUGAUGUACAGUUUAAUCUGUAAAAGAGCAGAUGCUAUGGAUGGAAGGAGUGUGUCUAUGGAAUGGAUAUUUUUUGGAAACUUUGAAAUUAUUCUGAAGUAAUAAUCCCUCUAGCAAACUAAUGU